rnacentral:lncRNA from 1 species
UUUAAGGGUCGUUCGCUCGAUUUAGCUUACAAGGGCAUUUUGGUCACUUUUAACCCUUCUAUUACGACGAAGGACUUUUAAAGCCAUAUUUGACCAACAUCCCACUUUUAAAACUAUGAUCUUGUCAUUAGGUUUCAAAAUACCAUAACCACCAUUUAAAUAAUUCGGUUUACUUAUUUAAAGUAACCGAAUGUCUAUUUAACUUCAUUUAACUCUCAAUAAACCUCUAGUUCCACUUGAGUAGUUAACUUAUUAUACAUACCUGACUCGGAUCAAUAUAUUGACCCGUUUCGAUACCUUGCCUUAGUAGC